rnacentral:misc_RNA from 1 species
AACGCACCUUGCGCUCCGUGGUAUUCCGCGGAGCAUGCCUGUUUGAGUGUCGCGCCCCUCUCAACCCCCAGCCCUCUAGUUCGGAGGCGCCUGCGUGGGCUUGGACCGUGGCCUCCAGUCGACGCCGCUCUUCGCGAGCGCGCCGAGGGCCGAAAGACGAUCGAGCGCCCUCCUUUGGCGGACCGGCCGACGACGUUUGUACGCACCCUUCGUCCGUCCCUUGCGUGCCGCCGCCCUGUCACCGAGGCUCGCGCUGCGAACCCCGCGCAUUUUGCGAAAAAUGACACCCUUUCGACCUCAAAUCAGGCAGGACGACCCGCUGAACUUAA